rnacentral:misc_RNA from 1 species
UACGGAGGAGGCAAGCGUUGUUCAGAAUCACUGGGCUUAAAGCGCGUGUAGGCGGCCGAUCAAGUACUUUGUGAAAGCCCCGGGCUUAACCUGGGAACUGCUUGGUAUACUGAUUGGCUUGAGUCGGAUAGGGGUGCCUGGAACUCUAGGUGGAGCGGUGAAAUGCGUAGAUAUCUAGAGGAACGCCUGAGGCGAAAGCGGGGCACUGGGUCCGCACUGACGCUGAGACGCGAAAGCGUAGGGAGCGAACGGG